rnacentral:rRNA from 1 species
UGGGGAAUUUUGGACAAUGGGCGCAAGCCUGAUCCAGCCAUGCCGCGUUCAGGAUGAAGGCCUUCGGGUUGUAAACUGCUUUUGUACGGAACUAAAAGACUCCUUCUAAUAAAGGGGGUCCAUGACGGUACCGUAAGAAUAAGCACCGGCUAACUACGUUCCAGCAGCCGCGGUAAUACGUAGGGUGCAAUCGUUAAUCGGAAUUACUGGGCGUAAAGCGUGCGCAGGCUGUCAUCCAAGACAGAUGUGAAAUCCCCGGGCUCAAGCUGGGAAAUGCAUUUGUGACUGCAUAGCUGGAGUGCGGCAGAGGGGGAUGGAAUUCCGCGUGUAGCAGUGAAAUGCGUAGAUAUGAGGAGGAACACCGAUGGCGAAGGCAAUCCCCUGGGCCUGAACUGACGCUCAUGCACGAAAGCGUGGGGAGCAAACA